GAAAAUAACUGCUGGGAAGGAGCCUGGGAGUGAACCUGGAGGGUUGUUGUGUGUGGCUGGGAAAAGUAUGGAAUAGUGGGUUUUUUUAGGAUUAGGAUUGUUAGGGAGUGGGGAAGCCUCCCCCAUGCAGACCCAGGCUAACCCCUAUCCUCUCUCAUUCAGUCAGGCACAU